GAAUCUACCCGGUAGUGGGGGAUAACCUGGGGAAACCCAGGCUAAUACCGCAUACGUCCUACGGGAGAAAGGGGGCUCCGGCUCCCGCUAUCGGAUGAGCCUAUGUCGGAUUAGCUAGUUGGUGAGGUAAAGGCUCACCAAGGCAACGAUCCGUAGCUGGUCUGAGAGGAUGAUCAGCCACAUCGGGACUGAGACACGGCCCGAACUCCUACGGGAGGCAGCAGUGGGGAAUAUUGGACAAUGGGGGGAACCCUGAUCCAGCCAUGCCGCGUGUGUGAAGAAGGCCUUCGGGUUGUAAAGCACUUUCAGCGAGGAAGAACGCCUAGUGGUUAAUACCCAUUAGGAAAGACAUCACUCGCAGAAGAAGCACCGGCUAACUCCGUGCCAGCAGCCGCGGUAAUACGGAGGGUGCAAGCGUUAAUCGGAAUUACUGGGCGUAAAGCGCGCGUAGGUGGCUUGAUAAGCCGGUUGUGAAAGCCCCGGGCUCAACCUGGGAACGGCAUCCGGAACUGUCAAGCUAGAGUGCAAGAGAGGAAGGUAGAAUUCCCGGUGUAGCGGUGAAAUGCGUAGAGAUCGAGAGGAAUACCAGUGGCGAAGGCGGCCUUCUGGACUGACACUGACACUGAGGUGCGAGCGU
rnacentral:rRNA from 1 species